rnacentral:lncRNA from 1 species
GGAGGCAUAAUUAAUAAUUAACAACUCUACUGACUGAACAUUUCAGCUACAUGAAGAAUAGAAGUAGCGACUUCAGUGUUUUGCGCUAAAAAUAGCUCCCAUUCUACUUGCGUUGUAAACACGUGUUUCGUCAAUUGCUUAUGAAGUUCUUUUUCAGCUAGACUUCACAACGGAAAUCAAAGCAUGUUAAAGUUUGACCAGUGGCUACAGUAUGCGUCUUGAUGUUUAUGUGCACCGUUAAAGACUGAAUGUUCCAGGUUUUCCUGCCUGGUUUAACAUUCUGUACGAGGAGGAUGAAGAUAUUUACACGGCAAAACUGGGCGAGGAAUAUGAGGCGGGUGAUGUUUUAAUUAAAGUUUAAGAAAUGGUAGUAUGUAUUUGUGACAGAACGGAAACUGAUCUUAAUAACUGGUGGUAUGUAUAUGUGACAGAACUGAAAUAAGCCUUUAAUAAGGAAGUGAUAAUGCAAGUAGAAUGGGAUUUUCUUUACAUGUAUAUGUUAUAACACUGAAGUUGCUACUAUAAUGCUAUGAAGUCAGUUUUAUACUAUUUGUGUGAGUAAAUCACUGUACAUGAAUUUUUCAGGUUAAACAGCCUUUAUUUUGUACAUUACAAUUUUGUACAUCAUUUUCACUUGAAAAUGCCAUUUUCUUACAGUACAUGGCAGAAAAUCUGGAUUCUUUGUAAAUUUCCAAGGGCAAUAACUCUUGUUUAACUCGACCAAUGUCCAAAUUUAUUGCAUUUCUGAAUUUGUCUCAUUGUACACUUUAAUUUGAUAUAUUACACUUAUGUAAAUUAUUUUUAUUUGAAAAUGUCACUUUGUUAUCCUAUGUAGCAGAAAACUUGAACUUUAUGUAAAUUUCCAAGGGCAAUAACUCUAGUUUAACA